rnacentral:misc_RNA from 1 species
ACGAGCCGCCGGCGCGGGCCCGCGAGGGUCCCCGCCGGCACCGGCCCCACCCUUGAAUACUUUACCUGUUGCCUCGGCGGGCCGCACCGUCCGCGGUCGUUCCGGCUAGCUAGCUACCGGUCCCGCGCCCGCCGAAGGAACCACAACUCUCUAUUGAAGUACUGUCUGAGAAACAUAACUAAAUAAGUUA